GGUGGUUCUUGGGUGACUCACCCAAAAUCGGGCUUCUUCCUCUCCAGUUUCGGGUGCGUCACCUGAGAACUGCA
rfam:Myotis brandtii contig259308, whole genome shotgun sequence.